rnacentral:rRNA from 1 species
UGAAAGCUUGCUUUUGAAAGUCGAGUGGCAAACGGGUGAGUAACGCGUAGACAACCUGCCGCAAAGAUGGGGACAACAGUCCGAAAGGACUGCUAAUACCGAAUGUUGUCAAGUUUCCGCAUGGGAGCUUGAUUAAAGAUGGCCUCUACUUGUAAGCUAUCGCUUUGCGAUGGGUCUGCGUCUGAUUAGCUAGUUGGUGGGGUAACGGCCUACCAAGGCGACGAUCAGUAGCCGGUCUGAGAGGAUGAACGGCCACAUUGGAACUGAGACACGGUCCAGACUCCUACGGGAGGCAGCAGUGGGGAAUCUUCCGCAAUGGGCGAAAGCCUGACGGAGCAACGCCGCGUGAGUGAAGAAGGGUUUCGGCUCGUAAAGCUCUGUUGACGGGGACGAACGUGCGAGAUGCGAAUAGUUUCUUGCAAUGACGGUACCCGUCGAGGAAGCCACGGCUAACUACGUGCCAGCAGCCGCGGUAAUACGUAGGUGGCGAGCGUUGUCCGGAAUUAUUGGGCGUAAAGGGAGCGCAGGCGGGAAGGCAAGUCAGUCUUAAAAGUGCGGGGCUCAACCCCGUGAUGGGAUUGAAACUGUCUUUCUUGAGUGCAGGAGAGGAAAGCGGAAUUCCUAGUGUAGCGGUGAAAUGCGUAGAUAUUAGGAGGAACACCAGUGGCGAAGGCGGCUUUCUGGACUGUAACUGACGCUGA